rnacentral:rRNA from 1 species
ACCUGGUCUUGACAUCCCGGAGACCCUUAGGAACUAGGGGUGCUUCCAUCUGGAAGAAUCUGGAGACAGGUGCUGCAUGGCUGUCGUCAGCUCGUGUCGUGAGAUGUGGGUUAAGUCCCGCAACGAGCGCAACCCUUGCCUUUAGUUGCCAGCAGUUCGGCUGGGCACUCUAAAGGGACUGCCGGUGUUAAACCGGAGGAAGGUGGGGAUGACGUCAAGUCCUCAUGGCCUUUAUGACCAGGGCUACACACGUACUACAAUGGCCGAUACAAAGGGCAGCGACACUGCGAGGUGAAGCCAAUCCCGUAAAAUCGGUCUCAGUCCGGAUUGGAGUCUGCAACUCGACUCCAUGAAGUUGGAAUCGCUAGUAAUCGUGGAUCAGCAUGCCACGGUGAAUACGUUCCCGGGCCUU